rnacentral:lncRNA from 1 species
UUUAAGUUGAGCGUUUGUGUUUUUCUCUUAUUUUUGAGAUAUUGAGAUAAGACGUGGCACGGUACUUGUCUAUCCCAAAUUCAUGUAUUUGGUUUUGAUGUUAUAUUUUUUUAUUCUCGUGGUGUUUUGUCUGAUGCUUGGUCCGUUUCAGUGUGUGUUGCUUACGGUUGUGUCGUUGUUCUCCUCUUAUUUAAUGCAUUCCCUCGGUUUUAGUUUGUUACCCCGAUUUUGUUUUUUGUCCAUGGAUUUGUGAGUUUUGAAAAGCGGUAUACUACUGUUGCCUUUAUUUACUUUACUUUGUAUUUAUUGACUCUAUAAACGUACAGAACAAAAAUAAUCCCUUAAUCUAGGAAAU